CGGUUUGGAAACAGACCUUUCGCAAGACAGUUUACAAGGUGCUGCAUGGUUGUCGUCAGCUCGUGCCGUGAGGUGUCAGGUUAAGUCCUAUAACGAGCGCAACCCCUGUUGUUAGUUGCCAGCGAGUGAUGUCGGGAACUCUAACAAGACUGCCAGUGCAAACUGUGAGGAAGGUGGGGAUGACGUCAAAUCAUCACGGCCCUUACGCCUUGGGCUACACACGUGCUACAAUGGCCGGUACAGAGAGCAGCCACUGG
rnacentral:rRNA from 1 species